ACUCCUACGGGAGGCAGCAGUGGGGAAUAUUGCACAAUGGGGGAAACCCUGAUGCAGCCAUCGCCGCGUGUGUAGAAGGCAAUGGGCCUUUCGGGUUGAUGAAAGCACUUUUCAGUAGGGAGGAAGGUAGUGUAGUUAACACCUGCACUAUUUGACGUUACCUACAGAAGAAGCACCGGCUAACUCCGUGCCAGCAGCCGCGGUAAUACGGAGGGUGCGAGCGUUAAUCGGAAUUACUGGGCGUAAAGCGCAUGCAGGCGGCCUGUUAAGUCAGAUGUGAAAGCCCGGGGCUUAACCUCGGAAUUGCAUUUGAAACUGGCAGGCUAGAGUCUUGUAGAGGGGGGUAGAAUUUCAGGUGUAGCGGUGAAAUGCGUAGAGAUCUGAAGGAAUACCAGUGGCGAAGGCGGCCCCCUGGACAAAGACUGACGCUCAGAUGCGAAAGCGUGGGGAGCAAACAGGAUUAGAUACCCUGGUAGGAUAG
rnacentral:rRNA from 1 species